UAGCCGUAAACGAUACUCGCUAGGUGUCGGCCACGGUGCGACCGUUGUCGGUGCCGUAGGGAAGCCGUGAAGCGAGCCACCUGGGAAGUACGGCCGCAAGGCUGAAACUUAAAGGAAUUGGCGGGGGAGCGCCACAACGGGUGGAGCUUGCGGUUUAAUUGGAUUCAACGCCGGAAAUCUUACCGGGACCGACAGCAACAUGAAGGCCAGGCUGAAGACUUUGCCGGAUUAGCUGAGAGGAGGUGCAUGGCGUAGUCGUGU
rnacentral:rRNA from 1 species